UUCUAUUUACUUGGUAUCAGUACUGAAAUCUAGCACACACACACACACACGCACACACACGCGUGCGCACCGCUAUCCGCCCGCUAUCAGUCUUGAGCUCUGCUCAAGUACGUCCCCGAUGAAAUUCUCCAAACGUCUGUCUAAUCAACACAAGACAUCAGGCGACUAUUUAUAUGGUCAGCGACAGGCGCUUUCUCAGACACAACCUUUUUUUUUAAGCGGGCUAUACGCAUACCAACAAUCGGAGCACAUUUCUCCUCCCUUGCCAUGAGGGAUGAGCCUCUCGGGGAUCUCCGGGGGAGGCGCACACAAGCUGAUGUGCGGGGGUCACCCGCAUUUUCAAGAUCGGGAGAUGCCGAAGGAAAAUAAACCAACGCUCACUUCGCCGAGAACACAAAUGAAUGUAUUACCUUUCCAGCUAAAAAUGACAAGUCCUCUUCUCCGAGUAUGUGAAGGUCUUCUGUGGACUGAUCAUUCUGAGGAAAAGCCAGAAGGGCCUUUCCCGGACGCUCACCAGGUAGCUCUUGAGGCGGAUGAAGUGGACCCUCAUGGGGAUGGUGCGGUCCGAGCUGCAGCUGAGCGUCUUGAUCUUGUCCACGAGGUCGGCGCAGAACUGGUAGCCCCCUUUCAGCACGCACAGCACCGCGAUGUCGUGGUCCCCCAAGUCGUCCAUGAUGUCGUGAGCGAGACGUUCCGUUCUGGGAGGCAGGAUACAUUAAUAAAUAAAUAAAGCGUUGGGGUCGUCCUGUACAAGUGCCAUCUUUUCAGGCACAAAGUGAUUUUGCUGUAAAUUUGCCACAUUAGGCAAUAAUUGAGUACAGCUGAGGUCAUCCUCAUUUAAAUAAAGGGCGGGCUGCGAGAGGCCAACCGAACUCUG